GUAAGGAAUAUUGGUCAAUGGGCGGGAGCCUGAACCAGCCAAGUCGCGUGAAGGAAGAAGGAUCUAUGGUUCGUAAACUUCUUUUGCAGGGGAAUAAAGUGCAGGACGUGUCCUGUUUUGUAUGUACCCUGAGAAUAAGGAUCGGCUAACUCCGUGCCAGCAGCCGCGGUAAUACGGAGGAUCCGAGCGUUAUCCGGAUUUAUUGGGUUUAAAGGGUGCGUAGGUGGUUUGAUAAGUCAGCGGUGAAAGUUUGCAGCUUAACUGUAAAAAUGCCGUUGAAACUGUCGGACUUGAGUGUAAAUGAGGUAGGCGGAAUGCGUGGUGUAGCGGUGAAAUGCAUAGAUAUCACGCAGAACUCCGAUUGCGAAGGCAGCUUACUAAGCUACAACUGACACUGAAGCACGAAAGCGUGGGGAUCAAACAGGAUUAGAAACCCGAGUAGUCC
rnacentral:rRNA from 1 species